GCAUUUGAGCGAUCACUCAAAAUAUUGCUCUGUCUUGGAAGACAAAGUUAGUGGGAUUUACAGAGUAGCUUAUUGGUGCAGGCAAGAAACCAAAUUAGAUUUAGAUCAAGUUAGACUUGGCUAGGCUGAAGUAGCUAGGCAAGGUUAGAUUAGGCUUGGGUAGGGGUAGAGUAGGCUAAGUUAGGUUAGGAUAGGCUGGGCUAGGCUGAGCCAGGUGAAAGUAGGGUGGGCUCGGCUGUGUGAGGAGCAUAGCUGGCAGUGUGGAGACAUUUGAGGUUAGAAACUCCCUUCUCGGAAGUGCAGUACUGUUCCUGCUUAGUGCUACAAAAGAGUGACGUUGUGGGUGGGGGAAGAGCAAAGAGGAGGGGUGAUAUCCCAGCAAACAGCUGCUGCAGCUGUGAAGAGAAAAAAGGAGGAAGAUCAGGAGCAGUUGCAGCAGUGUGACCCCUGCAACAGAUUUAUUCGCAUCUGCCAAAGUCAUCUCUUUGGUCUUUUUUUGGUACCUUUUGUGUAAAUAUUAACACAGUGGGAUGAAACCCCAUUUUGAGAUCAGGAGCACUCCUUCACUCAAAGAACAUCAACACAUGAGAGAUUGGUCUUCCAGCUUUCCUGUGAAGACCUACCUCUUUGUGUAUGACCUGAUGCAAUUCUGUGGGCAUUCCUGGAUAUUUACAAAUAUGAUCAUCAGGUACAUGUCGUUUGGAAAAGGUAGGAUUCAUUCUGUAUUUCCCUUAAACAUUUUACGAGGCGAUGGUAUAGAGAAACUUAACAAAAUGUAGACAUACAUAGUUCUAUCCAAUACCAUGGGCUGUAAUUUUAAUUAAGAAAAGCAUUGUUUCUUUCCAUUAAAAAGGAUGAAUAAUUUACUUGUAUACUGCAGCAAAAAUUGAGCAUUUUAAUAUUCGGUACUGUGCCAGCAACAUUUGAUUUAGACGCAGACCUACAUGUGAGUAGGUCAAGUCAUUAUGGUGAGUAUCAGUCCUAUUGAAGCCACUCGGAGGGAAGAUCUUUGUAAUUACUGCACACAACUUUGCAUCUCCCAAAACGUUACAGCAUAUUUCUCUUUCAGAUUUAGUUGUCUGAAGUCAGUGUACAAAAAUAGAAAACAAAUGACUGGAAAUUCAAAAUAGUUUAUAGGUGGCAGUUGUGGAUACAUAACGCAUAUAUUUUGUGGUCUAGUUGAUUUAGGAGGUGUCAUGGGUACUGAUACAGGCAGGAACUUCAGCAUCUCCAUAUUUUAUGCUUCUUCAUGUUUAGAAAUAUCCUAAAGGGAUAUCUGUAAACCAACAUGUCUUGUGCAAUGUCUGCCAGUGCAUCAAAUAUGGACACUCCCGUUCUUUUCUCUGUUUCCUGCCUCUGAGUGAGAUCUGCCUGAGGGUAGGGAGGCUUUUCAGAGGAAUCUGGAUAGGCUGGAUCGCUGGGCUAAGACAAAUGGGAUGAGGGUCAACAAGGCCAUGUGCUGGGUCCUGCACUUUGGCUACAACAAACCCAUGCAGUGCUAUAGGCUUGGGACUGAGUGGCUGGAUGAUUGUGAAGAGGAAAGGGACCUGGGGGUGUUGGUCGAUGUUCGGCUGA